AACGAACGCUGGCGGCAUGCCUAACACAUGCAAGUCGAACGAUACCUUCGGGUCUAGUUGCGCACGGGUGCGUCACGCGUGGGAACCUUCCCUUAUGUUCGGAAUAACUCUCCGAAGGGGGUGCUAAUACCGGAUAAUUUCUUCUGACCAAAGAUUUAUCGCCUUUGGAUGGGCCCGCGUUGGAUUAGCUAGUUGGUAGGGUAAAAGCCUACCAAGGCGACGAUCCAUAGCUGGUCUGAGAGGAUGAUCAGCCACACUGGGACUGAGACACGGCCCGGACUCUUACGGGAGGCAGCAGUGGGGAAUAUUGGACAAUGGGCGAAAGGCUGAUCCAGCAAUGCCGCGUGAGUGAUGAAGGCGUUAGGGUUGUAAAGCUCUUUUAAACGGGAUGAUAAUGACAGUACCGGGAGAAUAAGCUCCGGCUAACUACGUG
rnacentral:rRNA from 1 species